rnacentral:lncRNA from 1 species
AGAUGAAAAAAAAGAUAUUGACCAUGAGACAGUGGUUGAAGAACAGAUCAUUGGAGAGAACUCACCUCCUGAUUAUUCAGAAUAUAUGACAGGAAAGAAACUUCCUCCUGGAGGAAUACCUGGCAUUGACCUCUCAGAUCCCAAACAACUGGCAGAAUUUGCUAGAAUGAAGCCAAGAAAAAUUAAAGAAGAUGAUGCUCCAAGAACAAUAGCUUGCCCUCAUAAAUUGCCAUUCCUUGGAGACCCUCUUGCUUCUUUCUCUGUCAAGAAGGGGAAAGAGGCAAAGAGAGAAGAGGGAACAGUAGGCGAUGGAGAAUGACAGUCCAUUGUUGCAGCACAGAAUAUGGGGCCACCAAAGGUAGUGGUGGACUACCGUCAUUUUAACUCCAUUUGCUUAGCAGUGCUUCUGUUACUUCAUUUUGGGGGACAUAGUCGGGUGAGGUGGCUGUGGUAGAGCUGGAAGCCAGGGUGUUGGGUUCUAUUCCCAGUUUGGCUACUACUAGUAGUGUGACCUUGGGCAAGUCUACUUAAAGACAUCUCUAAGCCUCAGUUUCCUCAUC